AUUGAACGCUGGCGGCAGGCCUAACACAUGCAAGUCGAACGAGUGGCGGAUGGGUGAGUAAUGUAUGGGAAACUGCCUGAUGGAGGGGGAUAACUACUGGAAACGGUAGCUAAUACCGCAUACCAUCGGAUGUGCCCAGAUGGGAUUAGCUAGUAGGUGGGGUAACGGCUCACCUAGGCGACGAUCCCUAGCUGGUCUGAGAGGAUGACCAGCCACACUGGAGCUUGGACACCGUCCCGACUCCUACGGGAGGCAGCAGGGGGGAAUAUUGCACAAUGGGCGGAAGCCUGAUGCAACCAUGCCGCGUGUAUGAAGAAGGCCUUCGGGUUGUAAAGUUCUUUCAGCGGGGAAGCGUUACCCGCAGGAGAAGCACCGGCUAACUCCGUGCCAACAGCCGCGGUAAUAC
rnacentral:rRNA from 1 species